rnacentral:lncRNA from 10 species
CGGGACUGUUGGCCAGAGGGACUCCAAAGGCCACAAGUGAGUCACUAUGCUAGACCCAUCAUCAUCCUUAGCUGGGAGAAGCAGCGCUGAAAUAACUAAUACAACAGGAUAAUGUGAAGCCCAAACAGAACAAACUGGAAGACUGAGAAGUACAGUUCCUAAUGGAAAGAAGAAAGGUCCUCUCCAGACAUUGACUGUUCCAACUGAGAAAUGGGAGCUAACCUAUGAGGAUGGAAAGGCACAAGAACGAUACAAUGGACUUUGAGAAAUUGGGGAAAGGGUGAAAGGGGUGAGAGGGAUAAAAGACUACAAAUUGGAUUCAGUGUAUACUGCCCUGGUGAUGGGUGCACGAAAAUCUCACAAAUCACCACUAAAUAACUUACUCAUGUAACCAAAUACCACCUGUUCCCCCAAAAUCUAUGGAAAUAAAAAGUUUUUUUUUUUUUAAAAAAGAAUGCAUUUCAAUGAGACCCAAAACAUCUGGGGGUGUGUAGCAGAGGAAUUUGUACAGAUCAAAUGUCUCAUGUUCUUCCCUUAAAUUUCCCAGCUUUCCUUGCAGUAAUGUUGAGGUCAUGUGACCAAUUCUGGCUAAUGAGCUGUAAAUGCAAGUAAUAUGCAUCACUUCUGGGCUGGAGUAGUUAAGAGCUGAUGGGGCCUCUCCUUAAGUUCCUCAUCCUGCUUCAAUGUUCUUUGAGGCUACAUGCUCCAGAUGAUGCAGCUGUAAGACACACGAGAGAUGAC